rfam:Gammaproteobacteria bacterium RBG_16_57_12 RBG_16_scaffold_14578, whole genome shotgun sequence.
UGCCGGUUCCCUCGCGACGACAAGCUGUGAACCCCGUCAGGCCCGGAAGGGAGCAGCGGUAACAGUGGACUCGGGCGCCGAGGUGUCGCUGGCACAG